rnacentral:rRNA from 1 species
UACGAAGGGGGCUAGCGUUGCUCGGAAUCACUGGGCGUAAAGGGCGCGUAGGCGGGCCACCAAGUCAGGGGUGAAAUCCCACGGCUCAACCGUGGAAGUGCCCUUGAUACUGGUGGCCUCGAGGGAGGCAGGGGCGUGCGGAACUUUGGGUGGAGCGGUGAAAUGCGUAGAUAUCCAAAGGAACACCGGUGGCGAAAGCGGCGCGCUGGACCUCUUCUGACGCUGAGGCGCGAAAGCCAGGGGAGCAAACGGG